rnacentral:rRNA from 1 species
CAGCCGCCGCGGUAAAACCAGCACCUCAAGUGGUCAGGAUGAUUAUUGGGCCUAAAGCAUCCGUAGCCCGUUUUGUAAGUUUUCGGUUAAAUCCAUGCGCUUAACGUAUGGGCUGCCGGGAAUACUGCAUAACUAGGAAGUGGGAGAGGUAGACGGUACUCGGUAGGAAGGGGUAAAAUCCUUUGAUCUAUUGAUGACCACCUGUGGCGAAGGCGGUCUACCAGAACACGUUCGACGGUGAGGGAUGAAAGCUGGGGGAGCAAACCGGAUUAGAUACCCGGGUAGUCCCAGCUGUAAACUAUGCAAACUCAGUGAUGCAUUGGCUUAUGGCCAAUGCAGUGCUGCAGGGAAGCCGUUAAGUUUGCCGCCUGGGAAGUACGUACGCAAGUAUGAAACUUAAAGGAAUUGGCGGGGGGGAGCA